AGGGAAUCAUCGCUUGAGAAUGCAUGCCCACAUCUCUCCUAAUCCUGCUCUGACACUGGGCACGUCAGAUCAUGCAUGGAGGAGAUGCACAGGGCAUGCCACUGCUGGCAGGUGCCUGCUGCCUAACAAAGCCAAAGUUCUGAAAAGCACUUCUGUUCAAGGAUAGAAACUGCAGCUCUCUGUACUCUCAGAGGGUGUCAGCAAUUGCAGAAGUGUGGAAGAGGAGAGGAAAUCUCAUGGCGCCAGCUGAAGGAAGAAGGAGCAGUGGCAUGAAGAGUGCCCCUUCAAAUAGCAAGGAAAAGAGGAACCACCAGUUCUGUCUGUAAACCACCAGUGCUAGCAGGAUGCUCCUCCCAGCCCCUGCUUCAAUUUAAAAUUGUCUGUCAGAGAAGUAAAUGCAAAUACCCCAGAUAAGAACUAAUUUGUGUCUCAUGGAGAAAUUAAAAUGAAUGGAACCCAUGGAGUCAGAAAAAAAAAAAACCCAACAUUUUAAAAUGGGCUGAGUUUCAUUGCACUUACUUCUCUUUGAACUUGCUGAAGUUCAGACACAUUCAGAACUGGAGUUUUGGAGCAGACCCAUCUCUGUUGUCAUCUCGCUUAUCCUCUGUUGUUGUGGUUGUUUAUUACCAAAUAGUUUGUGCAAGAUAUCACUCUAGGUGAAAAUGUAGAAAAAUUAGUUCUGAGUGCAGUGGUUGUAGUAAUUUUUGUUUAAAAUGUUUUAAAUAAUGUGCUUAAGAAAGCUGAGGACAA